rnacentral:tRNA from 1 species
UAGCUCAGUUGGAAGAGCGUCUGGUUUGCAACCAGAAGGCCGGGGGUUCAAAUCCCC